AGAAGAGAGAGAGCACAGCUU
rnacentral:miRNA from 1 species